GUUCCUCAGCCACAACAAGAUCUCCCAGCUGAAGCCCCGAAUUUUCAAGGACCUGCAGCACCUCGAGUGGCUGUGAGUGCCCCCUGGGUCGUGCCCCCAGUGCGUGAUCCCCGUGCGCCGUGACACCAAUUCCUCGGGGAGGGGGGGACUAACUGAGGCUGGGGCUCGUCCACGAUCUCAUUCACGGGUGUCAGAUGGAGGACUGCUCUACAAGGUGAUUCCCCUCCCGAGCGUGCAGGGACGGCCCAGCCAGGACAGGUCUGCUCCCCGUCAGGUUUCCCCCUAUUUGCCAUGGGACCAGCGCAGUUAUUCCUUAAAUCAAAGAAGGGAGAACAGAAUGAUGAACGACUCACGGAGGGUGGUCCGUGGCGCAAACAAGCCAAAGGGCUUUUGAGAAGCCAAGCACGGCCCUGAAUUCCCCGGGUGGCUUUUAAUUUAUCGUUAUUUCACAGCAGAGGAGAGGAAAAUCCAACAGGCCCUGCCUGUGAAGGAAUCCAGGCUCUGCAGCUGGAGCUGAUGCAGGAUUCAUGGGGAGCGGGAUGGGAUGGGGGGGAGCCCCCACCCAGGGGUGGCACCUGGGGGACCUGCAGGGCAGGAGGGGCAGAGGCAGCUCCCCGGGCACGGUGCUCGGCGUGCUCCUGGUGCCAGCAGCCUCCCGCUGCCUUCCUCGCCAGCAGCCAGUGCCCAUCUCACUCCUCCUCCUCCUCCCGCAGGAUGCUGGACAACAACAGGAUCGCCAGGAUCGCCCCCGCUGCCUUUGCCUGGGCUGAGGUCCCUGUACUUUCUGUACAUGCUGAACAACUCCCUGGCUAAGAUACCCAACACCUCCCUGUGUGCGGAGAUGCUGAAGCUGAGCUGGCUGUGAGUACCUGGCCUUGGGCAGGCGCUGCUCCCCGGGGUGGAUGGAGGGGGCUGGAGGCUCCCGGUGGGGAUGGGGAUGGGGACAGGGAUGCAGCCACAAAACCGCCUUUCCUGCAGGGAUCUGGAGGGGAACAGGAUCCGGGCGGUGCAUGGGGCCGUGUUCCAGGAGUGUCGCGAGCUCACCGUGCUGUGAGUACCCCAGGGACACCCCUGGGUGGGCUGGGGGUGGGGGGAGGCUCUGCUCGGACCCCUUUUCCCUCUGCUCUGGGCGAGGCAAGGGGCUGUGUUUCAGCUGCUAGGAGGGGCUGUGUUUCACGGGAACUGGUUUUGCUCCAUAUUUGUAUUGCUGUCGGCUUCAUGAAUUUGAU
rnacentral:lncRNA from 1 species